UUUAAUCUGUUCAUCUGUUGAUGGACAUGUAGGUUGUUUCUAUGUCUUGGCUAUUGUGAAUUGUGCUGCUAUGAACACACAGGUGCCUGGAUCUUUUUGUAUUUUGGUUUUCUCUGGAUAGAAGCCCAGGAUUGGACUGCAGGAUAUAUGGUAGUUCUGGUUUUCAUUUUUAAAGGAACCUCCACGUAGCAAUGUACAUCCCAGCUCAGAGGAGAUGGUGUGUGGGGAAGAGAGAUGGGGAAGCAGGUUAGAGAAGAGAGAUCCAGAAAUGCACGGCCAGGCUCCACCUACUCGUGAUAUCAUACACUAUUUCUUUGUCUGGAAUGAAGUCUGCUUUAAACAUGAUCCUUCCCUGAAGCGAGUUCCUUCUUUCAGCAAGACGGGAGCAGCUUAGCCUCAGGUGAUUCUCACUGCCAGAGCCAUUUCAUUGGUUCAUCAUUAUCACGCUUUUCUCAUUCUCCUUUUAUAAAGUUGUUUUUUUUC